ACGCUCGACACCUACGGGAGACAGCAGUGAGGAAUAUUGGUCAAUGGGCGCUAGCCUGAACCAGCCAAGUAGCGUGAAGGAUGAAGGCUCUAUGGGUCGUAAACUUCUUUUAUAUAAGAAUAAAGUGCAGUAUGUAUACUGUUUUGUAUGUAUUAUAUGAAUAAGGAUCGGCUAACUCCGUGCCAACAGCCGCGGUAAUCUGAGCGGGCUGGCAAGGC
rnacentral:rRNA from 1 species